UUCGUUCGUAUACUAGCGGUUGGGACUGAGGAACUCAGCACGCCGAAAGGCCGGGUUUUUAACCACGUACGUGCUUAGGAUGCUGGCAUAAUGGCUUUAAUCGA
rnacentral:rRNA from 1 species